UGAACUUUGCUUAAGGAAUUUGGCAAUAGGGUGAAACAUUGGAUUACUUUGAAUGAACCGAGGAGUGUGAGCAAGAAUGGCUAUGCAAAUGGCAGGUUUGCACCUGGUCGGUGUUCUGAUUGGCUAAAACUGAAUUGCACAGGCAGUGAUUCCAGAAUUGAGCCCUAUUUGACUUUGCACUACCAACUUCUUGCUCAUGCUGCAACAGCCAAACUGUAUAAGACCAAGUAUCAGGUCCUCUUUAUUCUUGAGCUGCUUUAAUUUUGAAUCACCAAAUGCUUUUUAUACCCGCAAUGAAUCUUUGUGUCCUGAAAUUUAAUGAUACUUGAACUUUUCUAAUAAAAGGACCAAAGAGUACAGAAGCCACAUGUAAUUUCUAUUUGGUGAAAGACCAUAAUUUAUUUUCAUGUAAAAUUAUUUACUGCUGUUAGUAAUUAAAUUGACAAAAUAUUUAAAAGUGUGUAUGUAGCCAUCUCAAAAGGGUUUAAUAGGGAUUACCUUGAAUUUUGGCUGGUAUGUGCUGGUUUCUAAAGAGAAAUCUGAUCGAGACGCUGCACGUAGGGGCCUUGACUUCAUGUUUGGAUGGUAUAUGGACCCACUCACAAAAGGUGAGUAUCCAAAAACCAUGCGAUCUAUGUUGGGAAACCGGCUACGAGUUCUCCAAAGAAGAAGCUAGGCAACUUAAAGGAUCAUUUGAUUUUCUGGGCCCAAACUACUACUCAUCCUUUUAUGCUGCCUAUGCACCUCACCAACCUUAUAUGAAAACUUACUGCAAUGCUUGUGAUCGGGUUUGUUGAGCAGGCUUCCUCAUUGAAAACCCCUAGCAUGGAGAGAUGUUCUCUGCUUUUUACAGUUUUGUUACAUAGCUUACUUACUGAUAUCAUGAUUCAUGAUAUAUAUUUUUGUUAAUCAUUUUAUUAUGAUACCUGCCCCAAUCCUUAAUCAAGGGAUCAUUUCAGUCAAUAUAAUGAAAUAUAAUUUAAUAUUGGGAUGGAGUAUGGACUUGGUAAUAAAAAUACAUAUGGACUUGCUGUUUUAGCUCGAGACUUUUUCUGGAAGAGCUUAAAUAUUUUUAAUUUUUUUUUGUUUGAGGAGUAGGAAGUAACACCGUGGUUUGCUGAUUUUCAUUCCCAAAAUGAGCAAAGCAGGUGUCAGAUUGAGGAUCAGAUUCAAGUCCGUCUUAUUGUUGAAAUCAUUUCCUGUUUGCUGAUCCUGGCUGAUGAAGAAGUUGGAGGAGAUUGAUAUUCAACCUUUGAAGGUAGUUGAAACAAAAUCUACAGUCCAAGCACCCUCCAAGAGAACUGAAGGUUCCCAAGUCACUGUUAAUUGAAACCUCCACAACCGAGUUCGGGGAUCAAACAACUGCAACACAAUAUAUACAACAAGAAGGCAAUAGACGAUGCUGGCCAUGACAAAGCAAGCAUCCUCAAAGUCAAAGCAUUAGAAGCUGUAGAUAAAGCCUUGGGAUAGCUGGCAAGGCUUUUAUGGGUAGCAGAAUCAACAAGAAAAUUUCAGUUUUUCCUUUGUGUCAGAGGAGACCACUCUACUCCAGUAGAAUAUAGAGAUCAUAGCUUUGAAAUGGUCCCGUUCGCAAUUUGCUGGUUGAAAGACUUUGUUGGUGCAAUUGGGGAAUCCACUAUUUCCAAAUCUUCUAUUGACCCAUUUCCUAUUGCAAGUGUUAAGUCAGGUGAAGACUUGCUUGAUGAUUUGGAAACAGAAGAUAGAAGAGACAAAUGUUGUGAAGCUUAUAGUGGUGAUUCGGUUUAUGAGCUGAAUGAAGUGGCAGCUGCAAAGGGAUGUCUGGGGCAUUUCCCUAGGGGAGAAAUGAUGGGAAUUAUAAAGAAAUUCAUUAACUUAGAUGCGGGAACUGAUUAACUAAGGAAGUUAGGAGCUGUUAUGAGACUUUUUCUUUUCUCACUCUGAAAUCAAAGUGAUUUCAAUUUCUGGGUACAACAAAUCAAAUUUUGAACUUUUGUACUAAAUGUAGAAUAAAAAGCUUUGUUCUCAAAAUAACAAUGUACACUCAACUUAAAUAAAUUUCUCAGA